UGAAGCUGUCCAGUAAGGCUCUCCGUCCCGCAGGAAUCUCCUCCUCCAGCAGCAUCUGCAGCUCCGCCAUCUUUACAUGGUCCAACUAACCAUAGCUGCGGCGCGAGACUCCACUUCAAUGUCCGGCCGUGUGGAGACGACGGCCCAGGCCAAACCCACCAACAGCGCCACCACCAGGUUCACUACGAUCCACGGCCGCAGGAUCUGCUGCUCCGAACCCGGAGGCCUGUAGGAGGAAGAAGGAGACCUGGAUUACUAACCAGAAAGACGCCAGAGCAGCCGGGUCCAGGGUCAGGAAGCCUCUCAGGGCCAUGGAGGCUUUGGCCAGGUUCACUCUGCAGCAACAGUCGUCUCCUCUCCAUCCAAGGUUGACUCGGCCAUGGUGCCGUUUGGCAUUUCAGCGUUUUCGGUUUCCUGGUCUGGCAAAACAAAACACGAAAGUUUCCAAGAGC